AUGCUGCAGUGUAAACCUGUCGCUACUCCUAUGUCUGCCACUGAUCGGUUGUCUGCUUUUGAUGGUGACCCUCUCUCCUCUGAUGAUGCCACUGAGUACCGCAAUCUUGUUGGAGGCCUGCAGUAUCUUACUAUCACCAGACCAGAUGUCUCUUAUGCAGUCAAUCGUGUCUGUCAGUUUCUUCAUGCGCCCACGACAUCCCAUUGGUCCGCUGUGAAGCGCAUUCUGCGAUAUAUAUGCCUCACUGCAUCUCAUGGUUUGCUUCUCCAGCGUGCGCCGUCUUAUGAGAUCUCGGCCUUCUCUGAUGCUGACUGGGCUAGUAGUCCUGAUGACCGGCGAUCCACGGGGGGCUAUGCAGUGUUUCUUGGUCCCAACUUGAUUGCCUGGAAUGCUCGCAAGCAGGCUACGGUGUCUCGCAGCAGCACAGAAGCCGAGUACAAAGCAGUUGCUGAUGCGACAGCUGAGAUCAUUUGGGUUCAGUCCUUGCUGAGGGAGUUGCGAGUUCCUUCAGUUCACUCUCCAGUGCUUUGGUGUGAUAACAUUGAUGCUACAUAUCAUCUAACCCAGUGUUUCAUGCUCGAACAAAACAUAUUGAGGUUGACUAUCACUUUGUUCGAGAGCGUGUUGCACAGAAGCUGCUUAGCAUCAAGUUCAUAUCAUCAAAGGAUCAACUUGCUGACAUCUUCACGAAGCCUCUUCCACAACCACAGUUUGUAG
rnacentral:rRNA from 1 species